ensembl:snRNA LOC120094408 U6 spliceosomal RNA
GUGCUUGCUUCGGGAGCACAAAGAGUAAAAUUGGGCAGAUACAGCGAAGAUUAGCAUGGUCCCUGCACAAGGAUGAUGAGCAAAUUCAAUUGUGUUUUCCUUUUAAU